GGGGAUAUAGUUCAAAUAGGUCAGAACACAAAUCUUGCACAUUUGCAACAUGGAUUCGAAUUCCAUUAUCUCCA
rnacentral:tRNA from 1 species